rnacentral:lncRNA from 1 species
UCGCAUCUUGUCAUCCACAGGGGCCACGCCCACCUUAUUCCGAAUAUCUUCAUUCCUAAUCUUGUUUAUCAUAGUGCCCCACCUCAGUAUCCUCAUCUCUGCUACCUUCAUCCUUUGGAUAUGAUAGCUCUUAACCGGCCAACACUCUGUCCCACACAACAUGGCCAGUCUAACUACAAUUCUAUAAAAUUUACCUUUGAG